rnacentral:lncRNA from 1 species
GCCUUGGCCACUGUGGCCUGCAUAGAGCGGCGCUGCGCGGGGAGGCUAUGGGAGAGAAGAAGGAGGGCGGGGGCGGGGGUGAUGGGGUGGCGCAGGGGCCGCGGCCAGCCGGACGCUGCAGCAGUGCGGGCAGCUACAGAAGCUCAUCGGCAUCUCCAUCGGCAGCCUGCACGGGCUGCGCACCAAGUGCGCUGUGUCCAACGGCCUCACCCAGCAGGAGAUACGGACCCUGGAGGUGAGGCCACUGAAGGUCUGAGGGAGAACUGACUUGUCAGGAACUCCUGUUAAGGAGAAUUAACAAAGUGUGGUUAUUAAAGGAGAACUGAGUUGGGAGUCAGACCUGGAGGACUGCACCCUUGGUUAAGACAUUAUACCACCUUGAGUCUGGCCUGUUGACUGAAGGUGAGCCACUCCAUCCUUGUCUGAUUGUGGGGUCUUGACCUCAAGGGGUUUCCUGCAGGGAGAAGCAAAUGGGUUUGCUUUCCUAGCUCUGUCCAGUGCCUUAGGGACCCUGAGGACUGAAGAGAUUCUUGGAGAGCCAUCUGGUGUGUGUCAUGGGUGGGCCUUUUUUGAAGGUCAGUCUGCCCAGUGGGCUGGCUCACCCCGAAUGAACUCUCUUGAAUCUUUGGAGUUGUCUGUGUACUUUUAAGGGCUUCUCAGCUUUGCACCAAAAGAUCCCCUGGAAAUUAGGUGGGAAAACCUUAACUUUUGUGGGGCCUUGUGUUUGUCUUAAAAGUUCAUGCACAUGGCCAGGUGUGGUGGCUCC